AUUCGCCGAUUCGCCUUGAGUUGAUAUGGCUCAGAAUAACGCUGGCGGCGUGCCUCAGACAUGCAAGUCGAACGAUUAAACUUUCCUUCGGGAAAGAUAUAAAGUGGCGCACGGGUGAGUAACACGUAAGUAAUCUACCUUCGAGUGGGGAACAACAUCGGGAAACCGAUGCUAAUACCGCAUAAUGCAGCGGCACCUAAUGGUGACAGUUGUUAAAGGAGCAAUUCGCUUGAAGAGGAGCUUGCGGCAGAUUAGCUAGUUGGUAAGGUAAUGGCUUACCAAGGCUACGAUCUGUAUCCGGUCUAAGAGGACGGUCGGACACACUGACACUGAAUAACGGGUCAGACUCCUACGGGAGGCAGCAGUCGGGAAUUUUGGGCAAUGGGCGAAAGCCUGACCCAGCAACGCCGCGUGAAGGAUGAAGUAUUUCGGUAUGUAAACUUCGAAAGAAUGGGAAGAAUAAAUUGACGGUACCAUUUAUAAGGUCCGGCUAACUACGUGCCAGCAGCCGCGGUAAUACGUAGGGACCAAGCGUUGUUCGGAUUUACUGGGCGUAAAGGGCGCGUAGGCGGCAAAUUAAGUCAUCUGUGAAAUCUCCGAGCUUAACUCGGAAAGGUCAGGUGAUACUGAUCUGCUAGAGUGCGGAAGGGGCAAUCGGAAUUCUUGGUGUAGCGGUGAAAUGCGUAGAUAUCAAGAGGAACACCUGAGGUGAAGACGGGUUGCUGGGCCGACACUGACGCUGACAGCGCGAAAGCC
rnacentral:rRNA from 1 species